CGAUGUAGCAAUACAUUGGUGGGGACCGGCGCACGGGUGAGUAACGCGUAUGCAACCUACCUAUCAGAGGGGAAUAACCCGGCGAAAGUCGGACUAAUACCGCAUAAAACAGGGGUUCCACAUGGAAAUAUUUGUUAAAGAAUUAUCGCUGAUAGAUGGGCAUGCGUUCCAUUAGAUAGUUGGUGAGGUAACGGCUCACCAAGUCCACGAUGGAUAGGGGUUCUGAGAGGAAGGUCCCCCACACUGGUACUGAGACACGGACCAGACUCCUACGGGAGGCAGCAGUGAGGAAUAUUGGUCAAUGGGCGAGAGCCUGAACCAGCCAAGUCGCGUGAAGGAUGAAGGAUCUAUGGUUUGUAAACUUCUUUUAUAUGGGAAUAAAGUGAGGAACGUGUUCCUUUUUGUAUGUACCAUAUGAAUAAGCAUCGGCUAACUCCGUGCCAGCAGCCGCGGUAAUACGGAGGAUGCGAGCGUUAUCCGGAUUUAUUGGGUUUAAAGGGUGCGUAGGUGGUUAAUUAAGUCAGCGGUGAAAGUUUGUGGCUCAACCAUAAAAUUGCCGUUGAAACUGGUUGACUUGAGUAUAUUUGAGGUAGGCGGAAUGCGUGGUGUAGCGGUGAAAUGCAUAGAUAUCACGCAGAACUCCGAUUGCGAAGGCAGCUUACUAAACUAUAACUGACACUGAAGCACGAAAGCGUGGGGACCAAACAGGAUUAGAUACCCUGGUAGUCCACGCAGUAAACGAUGAUUACUAGCUGUUUGCGAUACACAGUAAGCGGCACAGCGAAAGCGUUAAGUAAUCCACCUGGGGAGUACGCCGGCAACGGUGAAACU
rnacentral:rRNA from 1 species